rnacentral:rRNA from 1 species
UACAGAGGGUGCAAGCGUUGUUCGGAAUUACUGGGCGUAAAGGGCGUGUAGGCGGUUUAACAAGUCAGAUGUGAAAUCCCAGGGCUUAACCCUGGAAGUGCAUUUGAAACUGUUAGGCUAGAGUACUGUAGAGGUUGGCGGAAUACCCAGUGGAGAGGUGAAAUUCGUAGAUAUUGGGUGGAACACCGGUGGCGAAGGCGGCCAACUGGGCAGUAACUGACGCUGAGGCGCGAGAGCGUGGGGAGCAAACAGG